UAGGGAAUCUUCGGCAAUGGGGGGAACCCUGACCGAGCAACGCCGCGUGAGUGAAGAAGGUUUUCGGAUCGUAAAGCUCUGUUGUUAAGGAAGAACGAGUGUGAGAAUGGAAAGUUCAUACUGUGACGGUACUUAACCAGAAAGGGACGGCUAACUACGUGCCAGCAGCCGCGGUAAUACGUAGGUGGCAAGCGUUGUCCGGAUUUAUUGGGCGUAAAGCGAGCGCAGGCGGUCAAUUAAGUCUGAUGUGAAAGCCCCCGGCUCAACCGGGGAGGGUCAUUGGAAACUGGUUGACUUGAGUGCAGAAGAGGAGAGUGGAAUUCCAUGUGUAGCGGUGAAAUGCGUAGAUAUAUGGAGGAACACCAGUGGCGAAGGCGACUCUCUGGUAUGUAACUGACGCUGAGGUUCGAAAGCGUGGGUAGCAAACAGG
rnacentral:rRNA from 1 species